UUCCUACGGGACGCAGCAGUGGGGAAUAUUGGGCAAUGGGGGCAACCCUGACCCAGCAACGCCGCGUGAAGGAAGAAGGCUUUCGGGUUGUAAACUUCUUUGACGAGGGACGAAAAAAAUGACGGUACCUCGAAAACAAGCCACGGCUAACUACGUGCCAGCAGCCGCGGUAAUACGUAGGUGGCAAGCGUUGUCCGGAUUUACUGGGUGUAAAGGGCGCGUAGGCGGGACUGCAAG
rnacentral:rRNA from 1 species